UCUGACGGAGCGACGCCGCGUGGAUGAAGAAGGCUGAAAAGUUGUAAAAUCCUCUUGUUGAUGAAGAAUAAGGGGAAGAGGGAAUGCUUCUCUGAUGACGGUAGUCGGUGAAUAAGCCCCGGCUAAUUACGUGCCAGCAGCCGCGGUAACACGUAAGGGGCGAGCGUUGUUCGGAAUUAUUGGGCGUAAAGGGCAUGUAGGCGGUUAUGUAAGCCUGAUGUGAAAUCCUGGGGCUUAACCCCAGAAUAGCAUUGGGUACUGUGUAACUUGAAUUACGGAAGGGAAACUGGAAUUCCAAGUGUAGGGGUGGAAUCUGUAGAUAUUUGGAAGAACACCGGUGGCGAAGGCGGGUUUCUGGCCGAUAAUUGACGCUGAGAUGCGAAAGUGUGGGGAUCUAACAGGAUUAGAUACCCUGGUAGUCCACACCGUAAACGAUGUACACUAGGUGUUGGGGCAAGAGCUUCAGUGCCAAAGCAAACGCGAUAAGUGUACCGCCUGGGG
rnacentral:rRNA from 1 species